rnacentral:pre_miRNA from 1 species
UAUAUACUCCCUCCGUUCGGAAUUACUUGUCGCAGAAAUGGAUGUAUCUAGACGUAUUUUAGUUCUAGAUACAUCUAUUUUCGAGACAAGUAAUUCCGAACGGAGGGAGUACUCU